rnacentral:rRNA from 1 species
GACGAACGCUGGCGGCGUGCUUAACACAUGCAAGUCGAACGAAGUGGCGAACGGGUGAGUAACGCGUAAUCAACCUGCCCUUCCGAGGGGGACAACAGUUGGAAACGACUGCUAAUACCGCAUACUGAAGGAGGGGAUUGCGUCUGAUUAGCUAGUUGGAGGGGUGACGGCCCACCAAGGCGAUGAUCAGUAGCCGGGAUGAGAGGAUGAACUGCAACAUUGGGACUGAGAAACGGCCCAGACUCCUACGGGAGGCAGUAGGGGGGAAUCUUCCGAAAUGGACGAAAGUCUGACGGAGCAACGCCGCGUGAGUGAUGAAGGCCUUCGGGUUGUAAAGCUCUGUUAAUCGGGACGCGGUACCGGAAGAGAAAGCAACGGCUAACUACGUGCCAGCAGCCGCGGUAAUAC